rnacentral:rRNA from 1 species
CUUUAUGUUUAUUGACUUUAAGAUGUCACACUUUACUUUGAAAUUUUCGAACAUUAAAACUCUUUCUGAAACUGGUUGAAUUACCUGAACCAAUAUUAAAAGACUUGUAAUAAUUAAACAAAUUAACUAUCUGCUGAUAGUAACAACCUCAGUCACCUUGUACACAAUACUAUGAUAGGCUCCUUAAACAGAGCCAGACGUGGUAGAAGUACUCGUGUCCUAUGAAGUACCUCUAUAGUUUGGUCUAUUAUAUGACGAACCACUACUGUACUGAGGUUUUUAACGCCUAAAACCAAACAGUUCCGACAACCUCGUUCCUUUUUCGGCUUAAGAGUAACUUUUUUUUAUACCUUGUGUCCCUAUGUGGCGUGGUCUCAUGUGUUUGUUACCCCUUAAAUGAUAGUUUAGUCUGUAUAUAUCAAACCCACAAAAUUAUCUUUUGUAUGAUUUAUUACCUGUUGUGUGCUAUAGGUACCUACUAUGUC